rnacentral:rRNA from 1 species
AUAUCAAUAAGCGGAGGAAAAGAAAAUAACAAUGAUUUCCCCAGUAACGGCGAGUGAAGAGGAAAGAGCUCAAAGUUGGAACCUGUUUGGCUUAGCUAAACCGGAUUGUAAACUGUAGAAGUGUUUUCCUGACACGCCUGGUAAAAAAGUCCUUUGGAACAGGGCAUCAUAGAGGGUGAGAAUCCCGUCUUUGGCCAGAGCUGUUGUCUUUUGUGAUACAUUUUCAAAGAGUCAGGUUGUUUGGGAAUGCAGCCUAAAUUGGGUGGUAAAUCUCACCUAAAGCUAAAUAUUUGCGAGAGACCGAUAGCGAACAAGUACCGUGAGGGAAAGAUGAAAAGAACUUUGAAAAGAGAGUUAAACAGUAUGUGAAAUUGUUAAAAGGGAACCGUUUGGAGCCAGACUGGCUUGACUGUAAUCAAUCUAGGCUUCGGCCUGGAUGCACUUGCGGUCUAUGCCUGCCAACGACAGUUUUAUUUGGGGGAAAAAAUUAUUGGGAAUGUGGCCUUUCGAGGUGUUAUAGCCCUUUAAAAAAUACCCUGGAUUGGACUGAGGAACGCAGUGAAUGCCUUUAGGCAAGAUUGCUGGGUGCUUUCGCUAAUAAAUGCUAGAAUUUCUGCUUCGGGUGGUGCUAGUGUUUAAAGGUGGAACUCGCUUAGUAUAUUUUUUAUUCGCUUAGGUUGUUGGCUUAAUGACUCUAAAUGA